rnacentral:lncRNA from 7 species
CCUCAGCAUUAGAGGAAAUGGUCCAAGAAGCAACUUCCCUACUUCAGACAUCUACAUCCAUGCUGAAGAGACAAGGAGGCAGGCAAUGAAAACCAAGAAGAAAAGGUUGUGGCGCUCAGGGGAUGUGGGAUCAGAGGAAGGCUGACGCUGCAUCCUGGAAGUCUCACUGUUUCGGUAAACUGCAAACAGGAAGCAGGAAAGUGAUGAAUCUGGAACUAGUAAUGUGCUACUCGUUUUGAAGUCCUCAUGACCUACUCCUGAAUUCUCAUCACCUGUUCUGUGCUGCGGCAUUAGAAACCACAAUGGUACACAGACUAUGCAAUCAAGCAAUGAAGGAUGCUUAUACCUAAUGAAACAAAUAUUAAUUUGUUUCCAGGCAGAUGUGUUCUGAAUCUGACUGUCCUUUUGAUUGCAGGAAUGCUUGCACUGACAUAAGAAAGAGAACAAAGAUUUGUAUUGGUUUAAGCUGAAUAUCAAACUACACUUUAAGCUGUAAGGCACUUAAACUGGCAAACAAACAAGGGCUAAAGGGUAAGAUGAUGACUAAUGAAAAGCUAUUGAUAAUUCUGUUCUUCUGACAUAUCCUGCCACAGCAGAGCUGAGAUAUUCACUAGACAGCUUCUGCCUUUUGGGACAACUUUUCCAGGAAACAAUGUGAAUUCUGAAUUCAAGCUGUCAUAAUGGUUGAACAGAGCAAUAUAUUUCUGGAGUAUUAGUAUUUCUUUGAAAGAAAUAGAAUACACUGAAAAGCUUCCAAAAUAAAUUGAGGGAAGCUGAGUAUCACAUUGGACAACAGACCAGUUGUGAUCACACAGCAUUUAUGCAUUUAUGCAGUUUUAAAAGCAACUAAGUAAUUAUCCAAAAAGUAUAGAACCUAGUGAAACUGAGGGAAACUACAUAACCUAUUUCAAGUCCUGGAAUGCAAUUCAGUCCUGGAAUGCAAUUAAAUAUUCAAAACACAUUAAAAAAACAUAAUCAAAUUCUGAUAGAAGAAAUAGAAACUGAUUAUUUCUCUUCCCCCCUUGCAGCUGAGAAAUAGAAACUGAUUAUUUCUCUUUCCACCCUGCAGCUGAAAGACCAGUUCCUAAGUUUGGCCCUAGGCCACGUCUGUGAAAAUGUUCUGAAGCUAUUCAGAAGAGACAAAUAAGAAGAGAUAAAUGUGACAAAUCUCAGGAACACUUUCCUUUUGUAACCGCUUUUGGAGCGAUGUGUCAAUAAAAACAAAAGUUUCAAAUUGGAUUACCGCUACCUACUGGCAGGGAUUAGGUAAAAUGUUAAGACAAAUGGGUAUAUUGAGUAAUAGCCUUCAAUUUUGUGAAAGAAACAAGCUCUACAGUUCUUUUUAUUUAAUUAAUAAAUCAACAAGUUACAAC